UGGUGGAGUGAUUUGUCUGGUUAAUUCCGUUAACGAACGAGACCUCGACCUGCUAAAUAGUUUGGCGUAAUUCGUAUCCUUACGGAUACUUUAUGCACACGCUUCUUAGAGGGACUGUCGGAUUCUAAAGCCGAAGGAAGUUCGAGGCAAUAACA
rnacentral:rRNA from 1 species